GGCUAUAUAGCUGGUGUGUGGUACACCAGCCAAUCCGCUUCCGUUCAGAUGGAUGAAAUGGUGUGUUGUAGCCGUUGGAUUCCUUUCAAAUAAACCCGCCCAAAAAAUCCCUAUAAUAUCUCCCGCAGCAAAACUUCCCAACCUUCCCUCCACAAAAAUAUUAAAAAAUAAAUGAUAUCCACCUUUUGAAAAUCAAUGCAUGAGAAGAAUCUCUUCCCAAUCUGCAAACGCUUCUCAAUCUUCUCUGCAUUACCCUCAAAAUCCAACCCAUUAGUCCCCAGAAAUCUAACAAAUUCAGCUCCAAAUCACGUAGACUCCGAUGGGUUUUCCCCAAAUCUGGUUGGAAAUUUUGCGGGUCAAUUUUCGUCAAUGUUGCAAGAAUUUUCCAACCCUCCUGGUCUUCAGAAAGGGCGCCAAGUUCAUGCCCAAGUUGUUGUAAACGGAUUUAGUGACAUGGGUUUCCUUGCAACAAGGAUUUUAGGUAUGUAUGUUCUUUGCAGAAGCUUUGAAGAUGCGAAAAGUGUGUUUUCUCGGGUCGAGAAGUGGUACCCGUUGCCUUGGAAUUGGAUGAUUAGGGGAUUUACCAUGAUGGGCUGUUUUGAAUUCGCAUUGUUAUUUUACUUCAAGAUGUUGGGUGGUGGUGUUUCACCGGAUAGAUAUACAUUCCCAUAUGUAAUUAAGGGUUGUUCUGGCUUAAAUGCUGUUAAAUUGGGAAGACUGAUUCAUGAGAGUAUUCAUUUGAUGGGCUUAGAUACAGAUGUCUUUGUAGCUAGCUCUUUGAUUAAGAUGUAUGCGGAGAAUGAUGCUAUUGACGAUGCACGCCGCCUGUUUGAUAGAAUGAUUGAAAGAGAUUCUGUUUUGUGGAAUGUGAUGGUUAAUGGGUUUGUGACAAAUGGGGAUGCAAAUGAAGCUUUAGGGCUGUUUUGUACUAUGAGAAAAUCAGAAACGAGACCGAAUUCAGUGACUUUUGCUUGUGUCCUAUCAGUCUGUGCUUCAGAGGGGAAGAUUGACUACGGCAUUCAGCUUCACGGGCUUGUGAUUAAAUGUGGCUUGGAUAUGGAUGCGUCUGUUGCUAACACGCUGCUGGCCAUGUAUUCGAAAUGUGGGCGCUUGCCAGAUGCACGUAAGUUGUUCGAUAUCAUGGGCCAGGUGGAUUUGGUGACUUGGAAUGGGAUGAUUGCUGGGUGUGUCCAAAAUGGGUUUAGUGGUGAGGCAUUAGAUUUGUUCUAUGAGAUGCAAUCAGCUGGAGUCAAACCGGAUUCGAUCACAUUUUCAAGCUUUCUUCCUUCGUUUUCAGUCUCGGCUGGUCUGAAACAAGGUAAGGAGAUUCAUGGUUAUAUUGUCAGAAACGGAAUAUGUUUGGACGCAUUUUUGAAGAGUGCACUCAUAGAUAUAUAUUUUAAAUGCAGGGACGUAAAUAUGGCACGUAAGGUUUUUGAUAGAACAGGCACAGUAGAUAUAGUCAUUUGCAGUGCGAUGAUUUCGGGCUUUGUGCUGAAUGGCUUGAGUGAUGACGCUUUAGGGAUGUUCCGUUGGUUGCUAAGAGCACAAAUGAAGCCCAAUGCAGUGACAUUGGCCAGUGUUCUUCCAGCUUGUUCCUGUUUGGCUGCUUUGAGGCUGGGGAAGGAGCUUCAUUGUUACAUUUUAAAGAAUGCAUUUGAUGGAAGAUGUUAUGUGGGCAGUGCACUGACUGAUAUGUAUGCUAAAUGUGGGAGAUUGGAUCUUGGUAGCCGUGUUUUUGAAAAUAUGUUUGACAGAGAUGCUGUGUUAUGGAACACAAUGAUUUCAAGCUAUUCCCAGAAUGGGCAACCUGAAGAGGCUAUCCAUCUUUUCCGCCAGAUGGGUUUGGAAGGAAUGAGAUGUGACUGUGUUACCAUAUCAGCUGCUCUUUCAGCCUGUGCAAAUAUACCAGCGCUGAUUCAUGGUAAAGCAAUUCAUGGUUUUAUGAUGAAAGGUGCCUUGAGAUCAGACCUCUUUGCCAAGAGCGCCCUAAUAGACAUGUAUGCCAAAUGUGGCGAUUUAGUUUUUGCUCGUCGUGUGUUUGACUAUAUGCAAGAGAAGAAUGAGGUGUCAUGGAAUAGUAUUAUUGCUGCUUAUGGGACCCACGGUCUAGUGAGGGAUGCACUCGGUUUAUUCCGAGAAAUGAAGGAAGCAGGAAUUCGGCCGGAUCAUAUCACCUUUCUCGCCAUAAUAUCUUCUUGUGGCCAUUCUGGCCUAGUGGAUGAAGGUUUCAAAUACUUCCGUUGCAUGAUUGAGGAAUGUGGGAUUGUAGCUCGGAUGGAACAUUACGCUUGUAUGGUUGAUCUAUUUGGGCGUUCCGGACGACUGUAUGAGGCACUUGAUUUCAUAACAAGCAUGCCAUUCAAACCAGAUGCUGGUAUUUGGGGUGCGCUUCUUGGAGCGUGUCGUGUUCACAGAAAUGUCGAACUUGCUGAGCUCGCUUCGAAACACCUGUUUGAGCUGGAUCCUCAGAACUCGGGGUAUUAUGUUUUGAUGUCUAAUAUCCAUGCUGUGGCUGGUAAAUGGGAGGGUGUCCUGAAAGUGCGUAGCUUGAUGAAGGAAAGAGGGGUGCAAAAGCUACCUGGUUGCAGCUGGAUUGAGAUCAACAGCACAACUCAUAUGUUUAUUGCAGCGGACAGAAGUCACCCACAGUCAGCACAGAUUUAUUUGUUCUUGAAGUGUCUCCUUCUGGAGCUAAGAGAAGCAGGCUAUGUUCCAAAACCAGACCUCAUGUACCCAAUACCUAUGGAAUCCGAUGACUAGGUACACAGUUUGAGGUUGAGCAGAACAGGUGCAGCUUUGUCUAAAGCGUGGCAGAGCUGCAAAAUGGUGGGCCAAAUCACCAUGGCUGAACCAAUAAUUGAUAAGCUUAUAUACUGUAAGGUGGCACUAGAACCUGAGCCAUUCAUUUGGUGGGUCCUUUCAUUUGAUGGGUGAUGCGCAGUAUCUCCACUAUCAAGUGAUCCCAGCAAUCUGAAUGGAUAUGGAUAAUCACACCCAAUGCUCAAUGUUCCAACUGGUAUCUGGUCAGAUGGUCAGGGCCAUCACAUGGGGUGCAUUUUUGGGGUACUCAACUGCUAGUUCUUGUGGGUAAUGACAAUGAUAUACAACCUAUUGUCCAUGGCAUCCAUGCCGACCUGAUUGAGAGAAAGCCAUACAACCUACUCUCUAGGUCAAUGGCUUGAAGGCAGACAUGUAAUGGGGGGUGAAUCUUAUCUUUAGAUGAUGCAGAGCUAUCAUGUGUGAAAAUGCCCUCUAACCAAACCAAAGCCAUGACUUAUGGAAUACAUGUUUGGAAUCAGGUAAAGAAACCAUCAUUGUAUACCUAUGCUUUCCAGGUCACACAUUUGAAAAUUCAUUGCUUCCUAGAUACUCACCUCUUGCUUCUCAUUGGUUAGCCUUUUCUCGUGCAUUUCCUGCAUGUGUGAAUGUAUGUACGAGUCUUUCCAGCUACACAACAUUGUGCACCUCGUUUGAAGCUGGAGAUUGUCGAUCAUCUGUAAUUUAUUGGACUAGACUCCUGUAUUAGUUUUCUUCAUGGCAUGGAUGCUGGGCAAUUCAAACCGUCCAAAUAGUUGACCCAGCUCUAGAUGGAGUAGCACCCGGAUAGCUGAUUUUUCCAUUGGAAUUUGGGUCGCUCAGUAUUUUGCUUUUUAGCAUCCAUCUGAUAGACACUGUUCAUUAGGUUAGGAUUUCUUGAUUAGUUUGAUUUUGAAGAUAUGCUGCAUCCACAAUGGGCCACACAAUUUGAAUGGUUUGGAUGGACAUACAACAGUGCCAUGUGUUAGGAGGAUGAGGUCACAACCAUUUUCAAAAUGUUGCAACACUAGCAGAGGAGUCUUGCCCAAAUUUGGGUGGUCGAGUUUUAUCUCAAGCAUAAUAAAUUCAGGAUUUCCUGUUCUACGUAUACUUGCUCCCCAAUUACUCAAACUUACAUCACAUGAUGUUUUUACCUUUCAUGACUUUUUUUUUUUUUCCUUUU